UUUUUUUUUUGUGGUUUUGUCAAUGCAAGGGAAGAGAUUUCUAAUUGAAUCGAAUCCUUACUCACAAAAGUUUCUUGAAAUUGGUUAAUACGGAUAGAUUUCGGUUUUGGCAAUGCCACCACCUUCUUCACCGCUAUCAGCCACCACCGGAACCCUAGAAUCAAUCUCAUAAAUCAGCCACUGUCGGAACUCUGGGUGACACUUGAUUUUAUGGGAUUUCCAAAGUAUUAACCAGGUGCUUGGAAGGAUGGUUCAUCCCGUCGAAUUCUUCAUUGAUUGGUAUAUGGUGGCCAACCGAUUGAAACCAAAAUGUUUAAGGAAGGAUUUGGUUAUCCUUGGUUCUGAUGCAAGAAUGUAGGUUAUACUUGACUCUAUAACUGAUUAUGCAUGCGAAGGGACAAAACAAAGAGAUGUUGUAUACUUUUAGCGCAACUUAUAAUUUUACCAAGUCUAUAUUUAUGACGAAGAGUGUGAUAUAAUAUGAGUAAAUAAUAUAGUUUUUUUUGUAUAUUUUACAUUGUUUCCUUAGAAGACAUCCUGU